GACGAACGCUGGCGGCGUGCUUAACACAUGCAAGUCGAACGGAAAGGCCUUUUCGGAGGUACUCGAGUGGCGAACGGGUGAGUAACACGUGGGUGAUCUGCCCUGCACUCUGGGAUAAGCCUGGGAAACUGGGUCUAAUACCGGAUAGGACCGCACUUUAGUGUGUGUGGUGGAAAGUUGCUUCGGUGUAGGAUGAGCCCGCGGCCUAUCAGCUUGUUGGUGGGGUAAUGGCCUACCAAGGCGGCGACGGGUAGCCGGACUGAGAGGUUGGUCGGCCACAUUGGGACUGAGAUACGGCCCAGACUCCUACGGGAGGCAGCAGUGGGGAAUAUUGCACAAUGGGCGCAAGCCUGAUGCAGCGACGCCGCGUGGGGGAUGACGGCCUUCGGGUUGUAAACUCCUUUCGCCAGGGACGAAGCGUUUUGUGACGGUACCUGGAGAAGAAGCACCGGCUAACUACGUG
rnacentral:rRNA from 1 species